ACCCCUACGGGGGGCAGCAGUGGGGAAUAUUGGACAAUGGGCGCAAGCCUGAUCCAGCAAUGCCGCGUGUGUGAAGAAGGCCUGCGGGUUGUAAAGCACUUUCAAUUGUGAAGAAAAGCUCUGAAUUAAUACUUCAGAGUCUUGACGUUAACUUUAGAAGAAGCACCGGCUAACUCCGUGCCAGCAGCCGCGGUAA
rnacentral:rRNA from 1 species